UACAGGGGGCUCGAGCGUUAUUCGGAAUCACUGGGCUUAAAGGGUGCGUAGGCGGCUCGCCAAGUGCUUUGUGAAAUCCCACAGCUCAACUGUGGAACAGCAGGGCAAACUGGCGAGCUUGAAGCAGGUAGGGGCUGGAAGAACAGUAGGUGGAGCGGUGAAAUGCGUAGAUAUCUACUGGAAUGCCGAUGGGGAAGCCGUCCAGCUGGGCCUGUCUUGACGCUGAGGCACGAAAGCGUGGGGAGCAAACAGG
rnacentral:rRNA from 1 species